GUUUUUUUUUUUUUCCUUUUUUUUUCCUCCCUCUCUUUGGCUCCCUCCUUCCGCGCGAGUCUCAGGAGAAGCCGCGGCUUAAGGCCCCGCUGCUGCCGCCCGAGGCCGGUUCGCCUUGCGCCAUGGACUGGCAGCCAGACGAGCAGGGCCUGCAGCAGGUCCUGCAGCUGCUCAAAGACUCGCAGUCGCCCAACACAGCCACGCAGCGCAUCGUGCAGGAUAAACUCAAACAACUGAACCAGUUUCCUGACUUCAACAACUACCUGAUAUUCGUCCUGACCAGACUCAAAUCAGAAGAUGAGCCAACUCGCUCUCUCAGUGGCCUCAUCCUCAAGAACAACGUGAAGGCACAUUACCAGAGCUUUCCACCACCUGUGGCCGACUUCAUCAAACAGGAAUGUCUCAACAACAUAGGCGAUGCCUCCUCACUCAUCCGGGCCACCAUAGGCAUUCUCAUCACCACCAUCGCUUCCAAGGGCGAGCUGCAGAUGUGGCCCGAGCUGCUGCCCCAGCUGUGCAAUCUACUCAACUCGGAGGAUUACAACACUUGUGAGGGAGCCUUUGGAGCCCUGCAAAAGAUCUGCGAAGACUCAUCCGAACUUCUGGACAGCGAUGCCCUCAACAGGCCCCUCAACAUCAUGAUCCCCAAGUUCCUACAGUUCUUUAAGCACUGCAGCCCCAAGAUCCGGUCCCACGCCAUCGCAUGUGUGAAUCAGUUUAUCAUGGACCGGGCCCAGGCACUGAUGGACAACAUCGACACCUUCAUCGAGCAUUUGUUCGCCCUGGCUGUGGACGAUGACCCUGAGGUGCGGAAGAACGUGUGCCGUGCACUGGUGAUGCUGCUGGAAGUGCGGAUCGACAGGCUCAUCCCCCACAUGCACAGCAUCAUCCAGUACAUGCUGCAGAGGACCCAGGACCACGAUGAGAACGUGGCCCUCGAGGCCUGCGAGUUCUGGCUGACGCUGGCCGAGCAGCCCAUCUGCAAGGAAGUCCUGGCCUCCCACCUGUUCCAGCUGAUCCCCAUCCUGGUAAAUGGGAUGAAGUACUCGGAAAUCGACAUCAUCCUGCUCAAGGGGGAUGUGGAGGAGGAUGAGGCCGUCCCCGACAGUGAGCAGGACAUCAAGCCACGUUUCCACAAGUCGCGCACGGUGACGCUGCCUCAUGAGGCCGAGCGGCCUGAUGGCUCCGAGGAUGCAGAGGAUGAUGAUGACGACGAUGCUUUGUCCGACUGGAAUCUGAGGAAGUGCUCGGCGGCUGCACUGGAUGUCCUGGCCAACGUCUUUCGGGAGGAACUGCUGCCCCACCUCCUCCGCUUGCUCAAGGGCCUCCUCUUCCACCCUGAGUGGGUGGUCAAGGAGUCGGGCAUCCUGGUGCUGGGUGCCAUUGCUGAGGGCUGCAUGCAGGGCAUGGUGCCCUACCUGCCGGAGCUGAUCCCACACCUCAUCCAGUGCUUGUCAGACAAGAAGGCCCUGGUCCGCUCCAUCGCCUGCUGGACCCUGAGCCGCUAUGCCCACUGGGUGGUCAGCCAGCCCCCCGACAUGCACCUCAAGCCUCUGAUGACGGAGCUGCUCAAGCGCAUCCUGGAUGGCAACAAGAGGGUACAGGAGGCAGCCUGCAGUGCCUUUGCCACCCUGGAGGAGGAGGCCUGCACGGAGCUGGUGCCUUAUCUCAGCUACAUCCUGGACACCCUCGUUUUUGCCUUUGGCAAGUACCAGCACAAGAACCUGCUCAUCCUCUAUGACGCCAUCGGCACCCUGGCCGACUCUGUGGGCCACCACCUCAACCAGCCGGAAUACAUUCAGAAGCUGAUGCCUCCACUGAUCCAGAAGUGGAAUGAGCUCAAGGACGAAGACAAGGACCUCUUUCCUCUGCUGGAGUGCCUGUCGUCCGUGGCCACUGCCCUGCAGAGUGGCUUCCUGCCCUACUGUGAGCCCGUCUAUCAGCGCUGCGUUACCCUGGUGCAGAAGACACUGGCCCAGGCCAUGAUGUACACCCAGCACCCUGAGCAGUAUGAGGCCCCUGACAAGGACUUCAUGAUCGUGGCACUGGAUCUGCUCAGCGGCCUGGCUGAGGGCCUGGGUGGGCACGUGGAGCAGCUGGUAGCCCGCAGCAACAUCAUGACCCUGCUCUUCCAGUGCAUGCAGGACUCGAUGCCUGAGGUCCGGCAGAGCUCCUUCGCCCUCCUGGGAGACCUCACCAAAGCCUGCUUCAUCCAUGUCAAGCCCUGUAUUGCUGAGUUCAUGCCCAUCCUGGGCACCAACCUGAAUCCCGAGUUCAUCUCUGUCUGCAACAAUGCCACCUGGGCCAUUGGCGAGAUCUGCAUGCAGAUGGGGGCAGAGAUGCAGCCCUACGUGCAGAUGGUCCUCAACAACCUGGUGGAGAUCAUUAACCGGCCCAACACACCCAAGACACUGCUGGAAAACACAGGUCGCCUGACGAGUCCCUCUGCCAUUCCAGCCAUCACCAUUGGCCGCCUGGGCUACGUGUGCCCACAGGAGGUGGCACCCAUGCUGCAGCAGUUCAUCCGGCCUUGGUGCACGUCCCUCAGGAACAUCAGGGACAACGAGGAGAAGGACUCAGCCUUCCGAGGCAUCUGCAUGAUGAUAGGCGUCAACCCCGGGGGCGUCGUGCAGGACUUUAUUUUCUUCUGCGACGCUGUAGCCUCCUGGGUGAGCCCGAAGGAUGACCUUCGGGACAUGUUUUAUAAGAUUCUCCAUGGCUUCAAAGACCAAGUUGGGGAGGAAAACUGGCAGCAGUUCUCAGAGCAGUUCCCGCCGCUGCUUAAGGAGAGGCUAGCUGCCUUCUACGGGGUCUAGACGAGCAUCGCGACUGCCAGGUUUCUGUCUGCGUUGUCGUCAGAGGGGUUGCUGGGGAGCGCGCUGCGUCCAGAAGUCGCCGUGCCCUGGUCGAGGGGGGUUAGGGAGGAGUGAGUGGGACCCAAAUCCAGACGCCUUCCCCGUCCAUCUACCUGCCAUGCCCGGCCAUAGGCCGGUCAGUAGGUGGGCAGGUGGGUGGGGCCUCCACGCUCAUCCUAUAAACGGGAGGGGGGUGGGACUUCUUGGCAGCAAGGGCCCCUUGCUCUAAUUGGGGUCGCCUCAGGCAGCCUGUUUGGGCCAGCCAUGUGGGAGGGAAGAAUCAACACGGCCGACCAAAUCCAGCUUAGGAUGAGGCAAGGGAAAAGCAGGCGGGGAGGGGGGUCCUUAUAGAGACACGUACACUCACACGUACACACGUGGCUAAACGCAUGUGCGGGCGCUGCAGCCAGCCAGGCUGGGUCAGCCGCCCCACCAUUUCCCCGACUGCAUGGAGACAGUAGAAUUAGUGAACCCCUGAGUUAACUCGUAAGGCCUUCCGUGUAACCUGCAUCUAGAGUUUAAGAAGCUUCUGCUGUUUUGCCGGAAUUGGCGGUGAUUAGGGAGGGCUGGGUGGGUUGGGGACCUCCGCUGGGACCCUGGGGCGGGGGGAAGACGGCCACCUUGGGGCCGCCCAGUCAGCACGCGCACGCUUCGGACCUGCUCCGCACACUUCUUGCCAGCUCUGUGGCAGCCUCAGCCAGUGUGUCCCCCUCCUUGUCCCGUCCCAGCUAGAAGAGUGGGGACCACCAAAGUGGCCAGGGCUGGCCAGAGGUUGCCCUUUUCCUCCUCCUCUGUGUUCCAGUGACUUUUGAAGAUGCUGGGCUGGAACCUUUUCCCCCUGAAGAGAGCUGGGGGCAGCCAGAGCUGCUGACACCUUCCCCCUGUGUCUCUCCAUAAGCAAGUCUGUUUCAAAGGCAGUCACUUUCUCUGCUUCCAAGAGCCCUCUUCCAGGCCUGAGUUUUAACACAAGAGCCAAGGCUGAGGCAUUUAAUUGAUGGUGACAGAAGACAAAAGUGUAUGCUUUGCCAGCAGGAAAGAAACUGACGGCCUGGAGGAAGGGAAGGGUGGUAUACCCCACUCUGUCCCUGGGACUUCCUGAUCAUCACAACUCACAGUAGGGCCCAAGACCCCACCAGAGUGGGGUAACGAUUCUAGGGAAACUUCUGGGUUUGGUUGGGGGUGCGGUCACAGUGGGAGAGGCUCCCCGAGAGAGGAAGGGAGUGUGGUUACUUCCCAGUUGGCCUCAAAACUGAAACCAGGCCCUGCAGCCCCCUUAAUGUUUUCCUUUUUCUCUUCCCUGCUUUCUACUUCUCUGGGGGCCUCUUUUUUGCGGUUUUAGGGGGUUUGACUGGAUUCCUGCAUUCUGGGGCCUUCUCCCUCCAUCCCUCUGGAGCCUUGGAUUACACCCCCAUCAUAGCCCUGUGUUUUCUGUCAGGGUCAGGCCCCACCCAUAGGGGCACUUGGUGCACAUUCCAUAAACUCAGCUGGUUCCCCCGCUGUGAAACUCCAGCAGGUCUCUGGAAGCCAUUUGUAAAAAAAAAGGAGAAGAGAAAAAAGAAAGAAAAAAAAAUUAAAUACCAUUUAAUUUUCUGGUAAUUCUAGUUCUUUGGAGCAUCCUCUGCUGGGUCUUGGGGUGUAUGGAUUGGCUGUCUGAUGGGACUGGUUACCCCAUCUUCAUCCAGGAUGGGGGGCUCCAACCACCUUCAGGGAAGGGGGAGCCUGGUUCUAGUUAUCUUUUUUCUUUUUUUUUUUUAAUUAAGAAAACUAUUUAAUUUUUUAAUUUAUUUUUUUGGUUGAUUUUUGCACAACGAAGUUUCAGCUUCUCAACCUUUUCCCUUGCCCUGGGCUGCGGACCCUGACUGGCCUCGAUCCGCAGUCCCUCUUGUUCCCACAUGCCUCCUUCCCCCUCAUCCUCUUCUUCCUGCGGGCUCCAGGGUCUAUCCAUUUGUUACCGUGCUGUGCUGGGGACUGGCGCCAAGGUGGCGUGAGAUUCCACUUGUGUAGAACUUUGUUGAGUAAAGAUCAGUUUCUUGUGAAACCCUUGGUCUCCAUCUGGCCUCUUGUGUCCUGGGCUUUGGCAGUAGAGAAGAGAUGUGGAGGGGGGCCUGGGAAGUUUUAGAAAUAGGGAUACACAGGAAUCAGGUCAGGAAAUAACUGGGGGAGUGGGGAAGUAAGUAAGAUUAAAGAUUAAAAUGUGGGAACAUAUACAUGCAGUGCAGUCUCUGGGACAUAAUUAUGGCUCACUAGAGCGUGAGCUCACUAAAGUGGAGCCAUCAGUGUUACAGCUGAGUGGCAAGGAGCAAGACCUUACAGCACCCUUAUCUUUGUCUGACUUCAUAACUGGAUUCCUGGGCAGAUUAGGCUUUUUUUAGAAUGCUCAGCCUAGCACCAAGCCUGUGGGACAUAGGUAAAUGUGCAACAGUUAAAGGCAAAUGAGAAACUGCUCAUCCAGGGACACGCAGGCCUCAGGAUAAAAUCUUGUUGCACCCUCAGUACUGCCCAAGGAUCACCUGCAUCAACCUGGGAAAAUUUUUAAAAAUGCUGACACACAACCAACUUUCGUUCAACAAGUGUAUGCAUUUUAGAAGAAAUAAAGCUAACCAGUGAAACAGUGAUAUGUCCCAUAAAGAAAAAUACAGCGGGGAGGGGACAAAAAACGUUAUGGAAAAUGGUCGCAGUCUUAUAGUAGGGUAUCUAGUAAGGUGAUUUGAGCAAAGAGCCACGUGGAUUAUCAGAAGACUCAGGCGAAGGGAACAGUUAGUGCUGCUUGGAAUUUGUGCGUUAACACUGCCUGGCUCAAAAGAGGCUGUCGGUAAAUGAGAUGCUGUUUUCAUCAGUAGGAUUUUUGGGUAACUCAGAGUUAACUUUCACCGAGGUCUCUGCAGUGUAACUGCUUGUUUCUGGAAGAGAUGACAGGAGUUCGAGUCACCAGUAUGCCCAGACUGAGAACCAGGAAAAGGGAUUUUGUAUUUGUAAGGAACCAGGCAUUUUCCAGCCCAAGGCCGACGCAGCUGAAGAACGAGACCCUCGCAGUGAACAGGUUUUCAGCAUGCGGCCAGUUUCCACGCGAGUCACUCGCUUCCGGCCGGCGCCCUAACG